rnacentral:tRNA from 1 species
GUCUCAGCAGCGCAAUGGAGAUAGCGCGUUGUACUUAUAAUUCAAAAGUCGUGGGUUCGAAUCCCACCUGCGAUG